UUCAGCAACUUGAUGUUCGUUGUGAAACAAAGUCUAAGUAAAGGCUAAUAGGCUAUAUGCAAAAUUCUGCAAUUUGUGCCAGACUGAUAUCUAUGUGUGCUGAUAUCAACACAUAGAUAUGCAACAGAAAACUUGGUACCAAUGCCAGACACAUAGAUAUCAACACAUAGAUAUGCAACAGAGGAUCUGACCGCACUCCGCUAAACUGGGAAUCAUGCUCCGCCAUUGCCCUCGCCGCCGCCAAGGGCAUCGCCUUCACUCUGAGAAUGAAUUUUUUGACUCAAAUUUGGAGAUUUGGAGAUGUUAAAUUUUUUGUAAACUGUAAUUACAUUUUUUUGUAAAUUUGGAAAUGGGACAGUUAAAUUUUUUGUUAACUGUAAUUGCAUUUUUUGUAAAUUUGGAGAUGGACUAUGAUAAUGGCAAUCAAGUUCCUAACUAUUUUGUUGUAAACUUGUGUAUAUUCUCUUUAUUUACUUGUGUUAAAUU